GUGGUGGAUUCGGUUAAGGUGCCAGACAUUGGCGCUCAUGAAAUACCAGAAAAGGUGUUGGUCGAUAUAGACAGCAGGACGGUGGCCAUGGAAGUUGGAAUCCGCCAAGGAGUGUGUAACAACUCACCUGCCGAAUCGACUAGCCCUGAAAAUGGAUAGCGUUUGAGCUCCAGGCCCAUACCUGACCGUCUCAAUUACGCACUUUUUUUUCGGAAAAGGUGUAAUGAACGUUGAGACGGGUAGGAAGGUCGCGACAGUGUUGCUUUGAAGAGUUUUGAGCGUGAGCUCGCUCGGAGCCGCUGUUGGUGCAGAUCUUGGUGGUAGUAGCAAAUAUUCAAGUGAGAACCUUGAAGGCUGAAGUGGAGCAAGGUUCCAUGUGAACAGCAGUUGGAGAUGGGUCAGUCGAUCCUAAGAAAACGGCGAAAGCUUGUUCGAAUUUGCGACAUGAAUUGUAAGACUGAAUAAUUAUUUGUGUGUGUGUUGUGGUGGAGGCGAUUGUGUCGUCACCAGUUGUUGUUGUGUGCAGUUGUCGUAUGUUUUCGAAAGGGAAUCCGGUUGAUAUUCCGGAACCGAGUAACGGAGACAAAGAGUAGCGCUUUAAUCUCUCUGUGGGGUUGGCGUUCAACUCAAUCGCGCGGUAACGCAAGCGAACUCGGAAAAUGACCGUCGUGAGUUUCGAAAAGAGUUUUCUUUUCUUUUUAAGGGACGCAUUCCCUGGAACCGGGUUGUCCGGAGAUAGGGAUUCUGGUAUCCAUAAAACGCCGACUUUUUCACGGUGUUCGGAGCGCUCUCGUCGGUACGUGAAAAUCCGAGCGACGCCUGGUAAAUCUCGUACUUGGUCGUACUGAUAUCCGCAGCAGGUCUCCAAGGUGAAUAGCCUCUGGCCGAUAGAAUAAUGUAGG
rnacentral:ncRNA from 1 species